rnacentral:lncRNA from 1 species
AACAUCAACUGCACUUGUUAUACUGUAAUUCAACGAUGUCAAGAGCACAUUUCUCCUAGCAGCAUCUUUCUGAACGAAUGAUAGCGUAGAGGAUUCGGAGAAAGGACCAAACGGUGUCUGCCCAACACUCCAUGUGUAGUCCACUAGAGUUGUAUUAUGCCUUGCACUCCAUGACAAAUGAGUAGGAGAAACUCCCCACAUACUCUGUAGAAUCGAACCAACAAGAGGGCGCUCGAGAUCUCUUGUGUGUGUAAACACAUGACGACCGUUGCAGCUAUAAUCACU